rnacentral:rRNA from 1 species
CUAAGAAUAUUCCGCAAUGGACGAAAGUCUGACGGAGCGACGCCGCGUGGAUGAAGAAGGCCGAAAGGUUGUAAAGUUCUUUUGUUGGGGAAGAAUAACCAUGGGAGGGAAUGCCCGUGGGAAGACAUGAACCGACGAAUAAGCCCCGGCUAACUACGUGCCAGCAGCCGCGGUAACACGUAGGGGGCGAGCGUUGUUCGGAAUUACUGGGCGUAAAGGGCAUGUAGGCGGUCUUGUAAGCUUGGCGUGAAAGACCACGGCUCAACCGUGGGAUUGCGUUGAGAACUGCGAGGCUUGAGUGACGGAGAGGGAGCUAGAAUUCCUGGUGUAGGGGUGGAAUCUGGAGAGAUCAGGAAGAAUACCAAUGGCGAAGGCAAGCUCCUGGCCGAUGACUGACGCUGAGGUGCGAAAGUGUGGGGAUCAAACGG